rnacentral:rRNA from 1 species
GACGAACCGAGCGAACGUUGUUCGGAAUCACUGGGCUUAAAGGGCGCGUAGGCGGGCCGCCAAGUUCGAGGUGAAAUCCUCCGGCUCAACCGGAGAACUGCCUCGAAUACUGGAGGCCUCGAGGCGGGUAGGGGCGUGCGGAACUGGGGGUGGAGCGGUGAAAUGCGUUGAUAUCCACAGGAACUCCGGUGGCGAAGGCGGCACGCUGGACCCGAUCUGACGCUGAGGCGCGAAAGCCAGGGGAGCAAACGGG